CAACGUAUUUAGACCGUUUUCCCGAAAUGCCUCGAUUACAUUCCAUAUAUCGACGUUGUGCACUGCAUAUAAUAAUGUAUACAUUAACACAGAAAUAUCCUGGAAUAUCUACAUAAUAGGUGACAAAGAUUCGGACUUCAUCAUUCAUUCUUGUGCGGUGCGAUACGACGCAAAUCGAAUGGUGUCAAAGUUCUGCUGCCGCAUCUCCUGCAGGAGCUGCAAACGACUCGUCUCGCCG